CGUAUUUAUUUGUUUUAUUCGUUAAUUAUGUACAUGUUGAAUUGAUUGUAACGUAUUCACUUUUCUUAUGUAGGCGUGUUCCUGGUCAGAUUGUAGUAGCUCAUUUACACGUAAAGAUUCCUUACUUCGUCAUAUCAAAACAGUUCACAAAAAUGAACGUGAUUAUGUGUGUGACCGACCAAAAUGUGGACGCUCCUUUACCACUCGCUAUCACCUCCGCCGGCAUAUCCUUUGUACACACUAGAAAGAACGUAAUUUUACUUGCAAUCAAUGUAGCAAAGCUUUUGG